rnacentral:rRNA from 1 species
GACGAACGCUGGCGGCGUGCCUAAUACAUGCAAGUCGAGCGGAUCUUUAGGAGCUUGCUCCUGAAGAUUAGCGGCGGACGGGUGAGUAACACGUGGGCAACCUGCCUGUAAGACUGGGAUAACACCGGGAAACCGGUGCUAAUACCGGAUAAUUCUUUCCCUCUCAUGAGGGAAAGCUGAAAGUCGGUUUCGGCUGACACUUACAGAUGGGCCCGCGGCGCAUUAGCUAGUUGGUGAGGUAACGGCUCACCAAGGCGACGAUGCGUAGCCGACCUGAGAGGGUGAUCGGCCACACUGGGACUGAGACACGGCCCAGACUCCUACGGGAGGCAGCAGUAGGGAAUCUUCCGCAAUGGACGAAAGUCUGACGGAGCAACGCCGCGUGAGUGAUGAAGGCCUUCGGGUCGUAAAACUCUGUUGUUAGGGAAGAACAAGUAUCGGAGUAACUGCCGGUACCUUGACGGUACCUAACCAGAAAGCCACGGCUAACUACGUGCCAGCCGCCGCAGUAACAC